rnacentral:lncRNA from 1 species
AAUAAAUUAAAUAAGAAAAACUAUGUUUGAGUCUUCGUUGAUCUUCGUUCCUCGCGUUUUGUGAUGUAAAAUUUCGUGCUUAUGGUGUAGGGACUUGUUGCUUUUAUAGGCUUUUCUUGAUAAGGAAGUAGUAGAAACCUAAUAGGAAUCUAUUUCCGCCACUUUCCUCCACCAGGAUUUGUUCUUCGAUUUUCGCCAUGUUGGAG